rnacentral:rRNA from 1 species
UACGAAGGGUGCGAGCGUUGUUCGGAUUUACUGGGCGUAAAGGGUUCGUAGGCGGGAGUGUAAGUUGAAUGUGAAAUCCCUGAGCUUAACUCAGGACGUGCAUUCAAGACUGCGUUUCUUGAGUAUCGGAGAGGGUCGUGGAAUUGCUGGUGUAGGAGUGAAAUCCGUAGAGAUCAGCAGGAACACCUGAGGCGAAGGCGACGACCUGGCCGAAUACUGACGCUGAGGAACGAAAGCGUGGGGAGCAAACAGG